AGAGUUUGAUUAUGGCUCAGAUUGAACGCUGGCGGAAUGCUUUACACAUGCAAGUCGAACGGCAGCACGGGAGCUUGCUCCUGGUGGCGAGUGGCGAACGGGUGAGUAAUGCGUCGGAACGUACCGAGUAAUGGGGGAUAACGCAGCGAAAGCUGUGCUAAUACCGCAUACGCCCUGAGGGGGAAAGUGGGGGAUCGCAAGACCUCACGUUAUUCGAGCGGCCGACGUCUGAUUAGCUAGUUGGUGGGGUAAAGGCUCACCAAGGCGACGAUCAGUAGCGGGUCUGAGAGGAUGAUCCGUCACACUGGAACUGAGACACGGUCCAGACUCCUACGGGAGGCAGCAGUGGGGAAUUUUGGACAAUGGGGGCAACCCUGAUCCAGCCAUUCCGCGUGAGUGAAGAAGGCCUUCGGGUUGUAAAGCUCUUUCAGCCGGAACGAAACGGUACGCACUAAUAUUGUGUGCUAAUGACGGUACCGGCAGAAGAAGCACCGGCUAACUACGUGCCAGCAGCCGCGGUAAUACGUAGGGUGCGAGCGUUAAUCGGAAUUACUGGGCGUAAAGCGUGCGCAGGCGGAUUGUUGAGCAAGAUGUGAAAUCCCCGGGCUUAACCUGGGAAUGGCAUUUUGAACUGGCAGUCUAGAGUGUGUCAGAGGGGGGUGGAAUUCCACGUGUAGCAGUGAAAUGCGUAGAUAUGUGGAGGAACACCAAUGGCGAAGGCAGCCCCCUGGGAUAACACUGACGCUCAUGUACGAAAGCGUGGGUAGCAAACAGGAUUAGAUACCCUGGUAGUCCACGCCCUAAACGAUGUCAACUGGUUGUUGGGGGAGUGAAAUCCCUUAGUAACGAAGCUAACGCGUGAAGUUGACCGCCUGGGGAGUACGGUCGCAAGAUUAAAACUCAAA
rnacentral:rRNA from 1 species